rnacentral:rRNA from 1 species
UACGUAGGGUGCAAGCGUUGUCCGGAAUUAUUGGGCGUAAAGGGCUCGUAGGCGGUCCAUCGCGUCGGGAGUGAAAAGCUGGGGCUCAACCCCAGUCCUGCUUCCGAUACGGGUGGACUAGAGGUAUGCAGGGGAGAACGGAAUUCCUGGUGUAGCGGUGAAAUGCGCAGAUAUCAGGAGGAACACCGAUGGCGAAGGCAGCUCGCUGGGACGGUACUGACGCUGAGGCGCGAAAGCGUGGGGAGCGAACAGG